rnacentral:lncRNA from 1 species
UUUUGAAUUGAAUAAGACCCAUUCUCAUAUUGUGAGUUAAUUGCAUUAUGUCUACAGUUUACAACAAAACAAAACAUGAAAAAAUAAUUGUUUAUCAUUAAAAAUAUUAAAAAAAUCAAAUAUAAUUAAAAUUGGUCCGAUAUAAUUUUUAAAUUAUUUAGUCUUCAUAUAAAAGAAUUAAAAUAAGUAAAAUCACUUUCAAGUAGUAUAUAGAAAUAAUUUAUUGAUUUUAAGUUUUUUUCUUUUUUUUUUCCUUUCCCUUAUUUUUC